CUCAACCUCCGACGCCAGCGUCGACCUCACCAGAUCGGUCCCUCGCCAUCACCGCCGCCAUCUAAUCUAGAACCCAGUCUACACCUACCUCCGACAUCUCCAUCCCAAUUAUGGUCUCCUCCACCAGUCGGUCAAGAUCAUCUCAUCCUGCCGUCUACGAUACCGUUCAACGAUGAACCCAAUACCAUAUUCGAUCCCGACGACGCUAUCAUGGCCAAUCCCGAUCCAAUACCAGAUCUGGAACAUGUUCCACGACCAAUUUUCCCCAACCCGCCACAACCCAAUUCUGCUCCAGAACCUCUCCGUCGCUUGGCCCGGUAGCAUGCACCAUCGGUUCUAUUGCGUGACUAUGUUUGUUCCCAAGUUACAAAUUGCCCAAACUCGUCGUCUUCUUCACCAUAUUCGGUGCCAGUUAAAGUUCACCCAGACCAAUGAACUACAUACUUAUGUUGAAGCUGCUCUGAACUACAAGCUUUAGAGGAUAAUAAUACAUGGACUCUGACCACUUUAACGGCUGGGAAAAUACCCAUUGAUUGUUGCUGGGUUUACAAGAUCAAGCAUUGAUCUGAUGGUUUUGUAGAACAUUAUAAAGCCCAUUUGGUUGCGAGGGGCUUCACUCAGAUGGAAGUUUUCGGUGAUUAGGGGAGAACUUGGUCCAUCGCCUUAAUAAGUCAUCAUAUGGUCUGAAACAAGCUUCCAGGCAAUGGUUUGCAAAAUUCUCUCAUGUUAUUCGGUCAUCUAGAUUUAAAUGGUUUUCUACAUAGCCAUUUUCGUAUCAAGGAUUUGGAGAUUUAAAGUACUUCCUUGGCAUUGAAGUUUCCCAUUCCAGAAAUAGGAUCUAUAAAUCUCAACAGAAGUAUGCUUUUGAAAUUAUUAGUGAUGUUGGUUUGAUGGGAGCAGCCCCUGGUGAUACCCCUAUCGAGCGUAAUUUGAAAUUAUCAAAUGAAUGUGUAUUGCUUAAAGAUGUUUCUCGGUAUAGGAGAUUGGUUGGAAGGUUAAUCUAUCUCACUAUCUCAAGGCCCGAUAUAACUUACUUGGUGCAUGUGUUGAGCAUGUUUAUGCAUGAGCCGCGCAAACCUCAUAUGGAAGCAACAUUACAGGUUGUUCGGUAUCUCAAGAAUACACCAGGGCAAGGUCUGUUCUUUUCUUCCCAAAGUGAUCUUAGACUUCGUGCUUAUUGUGCUUCAGAUUGGGCUGGCUGCCCUAUUACUUGAAGAUCUACUACGAGUUAUUGUGUUUUAUGGGUUCAUCCUUGAUUUCUCGGAAGUCAAAGAGACAAAGAGUUGUUUCACUCUCUUCGGCUGAAGCAGAAUACAAAGAAAUAACAAGAACUUGUUGUGAGUUGACAUGGUUAAUAGUCUUCUUAAAUAUUUAAAUAUACUUCAUCCAGAGUCUGCGUUGUUGCAUUGUGACAAUAGAGAAACACUUACACAUUGCAGAGAAUCCAGUUUUUCAUGAGAGAACUAGACACAUUGAAAUGGAUUGUCACUUCAUUAGAGAUAAGAUUGAAGAUGGAUCAGUUGUCACUAUGUUUGUUAGUAGCUGAUGUCCUUCAAAGCCUUGGGAAUGAAAGUUUUUAUUCCAAUGAUUCGCGAAUUAGGAGUUCGAUGUUGGUGUUGGCUUCCUCUUCAUGGGCUUGGCCCAAGUUGGUAUAAUCUUAUGUGGUCAUGUGAGCUGCAUGUGCUAGGUUAAAUUAAUAGCACAAAUUGGAGGCACAUAUAUAAAUAUAUAAUAUGCCUUGAGGAGCUGCCGCACAUGAAGUUGUUUGAAUAGAGAGGCAGAGAAGCAUAUUUGCAGCCAUAUACUUGAAUACUCCUACUGUAUUUUCUCUUGGUGGUGGUGACGUAAUUAUCCAAAGUUAAAUCUCUAAGAGUUUAGUUGUUGGGCUGCUAUAUAUUGUAAUUGAGAAGUGAGUAUUACUCUCAUUCUCUAUUGAUUCAAGAGAGAACUAAUAGGUUUGGGUGUUUGGUUGUUUGGUUGUUUGAGUUUUGGUGGAGAGAGUUAUUAUUGAUUCUAGUUGUUUAUUUCUCAUAUUUCAUCAUAAUGGAAUAUUUGCUGGC